ACGAACAUAUAUAGUCCAGAAUCAACUUAUGGGAAUAACGUAGAACCAAAGCAAUCUUAUACACGCUAAAAAGCCGCGAGGUACAACUCUGCAAGCAUGUCAACUCACCAAAGUGAUGAAAAGAAAUAUGCGAUGAUCGUCCUCUUGCAGAAUCCUCCAACCGUCAUCUAACAAGGAAAGAGCCAGGCAUUAAAACAAGUAGCUCAACUGUAUUUACAAAUGGCUCGCUCAGAUCCAAAGUGCACACAGCAACAACAACAUAAGCAUCAAGUGAGAGCAAUCUAGACAUUGACAUAUCUAUUUGGGCCCAUAUUUAUUUGACCUGGUUCGAACCAACAUUUCUAAGAAUUCAUCAAAAGGAGGAACCUAACCACGAAGCUGAAGAUCACAGAAGGGAAAAGGCAGACGACACCUAAUCAACAAAAAAUAUACGUGGCAAACGAUACUGAAGAUAAAAGGCACUCAUGAUUGAUAGGACAUAUCCAUGGCAAACAAAACUAUUGUCCAUUCAUCCACAGCAGGUCCUAACCCCUUCGCGACCACCUACACUUCAUGCUAUAGACUGGAUAGCAGGUCGCCUACCACCAUACAUUGUAGUUUUCAUCGAAGGAUUCUCCAUACUGUUAGGAUGUACCAAAUGCCUGGACAGCCUAGCCUAACAGAACCUAUAGACACUUGUGUUGCCAGGACCCAAACAUCAGUGUGAAUGCAAAAGAAACCACGGUGAAUAUAACCCGCUCAAGUAAGCUGAUGGGGGCACAGGACGCCCAGAGCAUGAACCGAAGAACACCACAUGAAGCAGGCGAAUAAGAUGCAGAGUCAGCCGUCGCUAGCAAGACAAACCUGCACCAACGGAGACCUCCACACGAUCUAGGUCACGAACAGAAGAAACACCAACUCAAGCCACCCCAUGAUGAC
rnacentral:lncRNA from 1 species